rnacentral:rRNA from 1 species
CCUACGGGUGGCAGCAGUGGGGAAUAUUGGGCAAUGGGCGCAAGCCUGACCCAGCAACGCCGCGUGAAGGAAGAAGGCUUUCGGGUUGUAAACUUCUUUUAAGAGGGAAGAGCAGAAGACGGUACCUCUUGAAUAAGCCACGGCUAACUACGUGCCAGCAGCCGCGGUAAUACGUAGGUGGCAAGCGUUGUCCGGAUUUACUGGGGGUAAAGGGCGGGCAGCCGGGAAGACAAGUCAGAUGUGAAAUCCCGCGGCUCAACCGCGGAACUGCAUUUGAAACUGUUUUUCUUGAGUAGCGGAGAGGUCAUCGGAAUUCCUUGUGUAGCGGGGAAAUGCGUAGAUAUAAGGAAGAACACCGGGGGCGAAGGCGGAUGACUGGACGGCAACUGACGGUGGGGCGCGAAAGCGUGGGGAGCGAACAGGAUUAGAUACCCCAGUAGUG